UACAGAGGUGGCAAGCGUUGUUCGGAAUUACUGGGCGUAAAGGGCGCGUAGGCGGCCAUCUAAGUCAGACGUGAAAUCCCCCGGCUUAACCUGGGAACUGCGUCUGAUACUGGAAGGCUUGAGUAUGGGAGAGGGAUGUAGAAUUCCAGGUGUAGCGGUGAAAUGCGUAGAUAUCUGGAGGAAUACCGGUGGCGAAGGCGGGUCUCUGGGCCGUAACUGACGCUGAGGAGCGAAAGCAUGGGGAGCGAACAGG
rnacentral:rRNA from 1 species